GGCGGCGUUAGGCUGCGGUGGCAGCCGGCGGUGCCGCGCCGCCCGAAUCGGCCUCAUGGCCGAGAUCGACCGAUUCGAGGUAGGUCGGCACUUC
rnacentral:tRNA from 1 species